GCCCUUUCGAACUCUUGCUUUUACUUGCCUUGUUUUUAAACAAACAUAUGCAAGCAAAAUCACUUUCACUUAAGUGGUGCCUGUUUCUUAUACCAGGGGCGUUUUCAUUGAAAGCUGAUCUAUUCAGACGAUACAAAUGCUCACACCAAAGUGUUGGGGGCCGGAAUUGGUUAUAGAGAGUCUAGGAUAUCAAGUGAUAUGACUCCCACCUGGCCAAAGAGCUUUCAUCUUUUUUAAGACUGCCACACUUUGUCAAUAUAUAUGAAUUGGUACGGUUCUAUACAAAAAGGCCAUAGCAUUGAAAUCUAUUGCAUCUCCUAAACAGAUUAAAAGCUAACAGAUUGAUUGCGCUUCUGUUUUCCCAUGGUGUUGGUUUCUCUUUUGUCUGCAUGGCUGGGCUAGAAUCUCUUGAUGAGGAGGAAAUAUUUGUGACACUGAAUGAUGCCACAAAAGUGUUAUACGUUUCUAGGCGGUAAUGCGUCUCAAAGCAAAAAGGAAUGUUAAAGUGAUCUUCCCUGACAGACACAUCUCGGUUUAUACAUAUAGCCACCAUCCUAUUUCGCUGGGGAAAUUGAUCAACACUUCCUCCCGCCCUUCCUCUGCUCAAACC
rnacentral:sRNA from 2 species